rnacentral:rRNA from 1 species
GACGAACCGUGCGAACGUUGUUCGGAUUCACUGGGCUUAAAGGGCGCGUAGGCGGCUUGCCAAGUCAGGGGUGAAAUCUUUCGGCUCAACCGGAAACGUGCCCCUGAUACUGGCGGGCUGGAGGGAGGUAGGGGCAGACGGAACUUCCGGUGGAGCGGUGAAAUGCGUAGAUAUCGGAAGGAACGCCGGUGGCGAAGGCGGGUCUCUGGACAGUUCCUGACACUGAGACACGAAGGCCAGGGGAGCAAACGGG